CUUCAGGGUUUAUAGAGGUGACUACUGUUGGACUGUUCUGACCCUUCAGGGUUUAUAGAGGUGACUACUGUUGGACUGUUCUGACCCUUCAGGGUUUAUAGAGGUGACUACUGUUGGACUGUUCUGACCCUUCAGGGUUUAUAGAGGUGACUACUGUUGGACUGUUCUGACCCUUCAGGGUUUAUAGAGGUGACUACUGUUGGACUGUUCUGACCCUUCAGGGUUUAUAGAGGUGACUACUGUUGGACUGUUCUGACCCUUCAGGGUUUAUAGAGGUGACUACUGUUGGACUGUUCUGACCCUUCAGGGUUUAUAGAGGUGACUACUGUUGGACUGUUCUGACCCUUCAGGGUUUAUAGAGGUGACUACUGUUGGACUGUUCUGACCCUUCAGGGCUUAUAGAGG